rnacentral:rRNA from 1 species
AUUGAACGCUGGCGGCAUGCUUUACACAUGCAAGUCGAACGGCAGCGCGGGCUUCGGCCUGGCUGCGAGUGGCGAACGGGUGAGUAAUGCAUCGGAACGUGCCCAGCAGUGGUGGAUAGCCCGGCGAAAGCCGGAUUAAUACCGCAUACGACCUGAGGGUGAAAGCGGGGGACCGAAAGGCCUCGCGCUAUUGGAGCGGCCGAUGUCGGAUUAGCUAGUUGGUGGGGUAAAGGCUUACCAAGGCGACGAUCCGUAGCUGGUCUGAGAGGACGACCAGCCACACUGGGACUGAGACACGGCCCAGACUCCUACGGGAGGCAGCAGUGGGGAAUUUUGGACAAUGGGGGCAACCCUGAUCCAGCCAUGCCGCGUGCGGGAAGAAGGCCUUCGGGUUGUAAACCGCUUUUGUUCGGGAAGAAAUCCUCUGGGCUAAUACCCCGGGGGGAUGACGGUACCGGAAGAAUAAGCACCGGCUAACUACGUG